UCCAAUACAACUUUGGUUAUGUGGCACAUAUUUAAUGAAGAGAGAGGUGCUUGUGGUAACUAGCUAAGUUACCGGAACAUCACACACUCCAACAAACAAUGAAUCUAUAGCCUAAUAAAUGCAUUGUUGCAUGACACUACAUAUAUGUUACUCCCCAUUGUGGAGGUAGGAACAUAGUUUAGAAAAGUGUGUAGGUUCCUACCUUAUGUUA
rnacentral:lncRNA from 1 species